UAGCGUAUAUUAAAGUUGUUGCAGUUAAAACGCUCGUAGUCGGAUUUCGGGGCGGGCCGACCGGUCUGCCGAUGGGUAUGCACUGGCCGGCGCGUCCUUCCUUCCGGAGACCGCGCCUACUCUUAACUGAGCGGGUGCGGGAGACGGAUCGUUUACUUUGAAAAAAUCAGAGUGUUUCAAGCAGGCAGCUCGCUCUUGCAUGGAUUAGCAUGGGAUAAUGAAAUAGGACUUUGGUGCUAUUUUGUUGGUUUCGAACACCGAAGUAAUGAUGAGAAGGGACAGUCAGGGGCACUCGUAUUCCGCCGAGAGAGGUGAAAUUCUCAGACCAGCGGAAGACGAACCACUGCGAAAGCAUUUG
rnacentral:rRNA from 1 species